ACGUAUCCCUGACGGGGUUCGGUGCGCCCUGCUCCGGUCCAAACGGCCGUGCAGCGGGUUCCCGUCCCUGUUCACACCUCACAAACCCACUGUGAACCUUCACGGCGGAAGGGAGGCGACUCCCCGAUGCCGCAUACCAAACCCCAGUCGUAAAGAAUGUCGUGCGGACUUGCGCCGCCUAAAACACAAAA
rnacentral:misc_RNA from 1 species